AAAUUUUUAAUGAGGAAAAAGAAUUUGAUACAAAUUACUAGUCCAGCAACACAAACUCCAACUCAAUCUUGGUCGGGAGCUUUAUCCCAUGUACCUCCUUUUAAGGGGGCUAAGGCUGAACAUACGAAAACAUUGCUUUUAUGAAAUUUUUAUGAACAUAAUAAAGUCAAUGCUACCUGCGUAAAAUAUAAAGCACAAUUUGCAUAAAAAAAAUCACGUUGGAGGGGGGAGGGGAGGGGGUGGGGUAACUAAGCACUUACUUAAACUACACAAACCUUUAUAGAUACAAGCUCAAAUAGAUGCCAGAAAAAAAAAUGUCAGCUUCUAGCUUGAAAGUGUCAGGCUUAUCGUGACAUUUACCUUUUUUGUUGCCCAUGUUUGAUUCAUCAAAAUGAUCUCGAAAAGUGCAUCCUUAACAAAAUUUAAAUUUCAAAAUAAGGCAAACAUCUAGAGCCUAUCGGAAUUGAGAGACAUUAUCGCUGGAUUUUUCC
rnacentral:lncRNA from 1 species